GGGAGAGAAAUCGCUUUGGAAUGACACGAUCACUCCCGUUGAGCGGACAGCCAAGAAGCCAUCGGGAAUAUCGUGUCCGUCCAAAGCUCUUUCGGGGCCUCCC
rnacentral:pre_miRNA from 1 species